GAGGUGGUUUUCAGUUCAUUGUCGUAAGGGACUAGGAUACAGUUCCAGUGAUAGAUCUAUCACCGGAACCGUAUCCUAGUCCCUUACGACAAAGAGUCCGUCCACCAUUGA